ensembl:lncRNA novel transcript, antisense to GNAL
AGGGUUAGCAGGUCCUCCAUAUUCUAAUGUGCACGGAAUUCCAGGGCACUGAAUUAUAAGCUGAAAUAAGCACACAAAAGGCCGACAGGAUAAACUUCCCCUUCUCCUGAUUUCUGGGAGUCAGAAUGCUUCACCCUGUUUCUGAUAAUCUCCUUCUCAGAUUUCUGCAAUUUGCAUUUCCCAUUGUUCUACUUAUUGGGGGCUUGGAGGCAUACAGGCUUACCACGGAGCAUCCCAUACUUCCAUCUGCCUUGUGGACACCCAUUCCACAUUUCCAGGGAUUCCCUAAAGGAUGAUAUCAUGGGAAAGAGUGCAGAAUCCAGGAGCAAUGACCUCAUCUUUAUCCCAACUUUCAGUGCUGGCAGAAGAGCUUCGGGACCUCCAUGUGGCCCCACUGAAAACUGUUGCUUAUGGACUACUCUGUGAUGUCAACCUUUCACGGGAAAGACAGGCAGCUCAGGAAGCCACGUUCCAUCUUCGCCAACUACUGGGAAGCUCCAUGGACAGCUGGCAAAUGAAAUCAACUUCCAUGUUGCCUCUCCCUCUCCACCUCCUGUGCCUCCCUGUCCUCAGCUGGGGCUGUCAGGCCAAAUGGUCCCUGAGGCCUCACGCACCAUCUAUUUUCAACACACAUCACUGUUUUCCUCUGCAAAGUGGGACUUCUGUUAGGCCCUAUAGAAUCAAUACGGCAGCCCUGAGCCUAAGACACAGGCGUUCACUGCUUCCAGCAACCAGGUGUGCAAAUUAGAACAAGAAAGAUUAUUGUGCAUUUUAAAAAAAGGUCUUUCCUAGGACUUUUUUAAAAACCAGAGAACAUGCCUUAGGACAUCUAACUAUUUGUGAAGUAUUUAUUUUAGCAUGAUCUCCCUGUGAGGGGUGCAGUCAGGGUGCAUUUCACCUUUCUACCACUAGACAGCACGAAGCAAAGGUGCACUGCGGUGAGCACAAAAGAAUGAGGCUGCAGCUUAUUGGAACUUGCAGCAAAACUGGGCAGAAACUGCAGGCCUAGGGAGAGAGGCAAAAAAUCCCAUAGAAAUCUGCAAAAUCCAGGGGAGUUCCAGGCACCCUCAAAGAACCUGAGACUAGGCCAGCCACAGGAUCAGAAGGCCAGGACACAGGCCAAGCCGAAAUGGUGGGAAAGAGCAAGGCCAAUGUUAGCAAAGAAAAUCCAACUGAAAAUAAGGUAGAGAAAGAGAAGGAGAGCCGAGCUCUGGGGCCUGCUGGUAACAGAGAACAGGCAGGAAGGGAGGUCCAUGGUAACCUGCCAGAGAGCCUGGGGGACUCCCACAUGAGAACCUGUGCUCUGAGAGGGCAUGGGGAUGAGGAUUCCUGAGCAGUCAGGGGCCUCACUUCCUUUGGGGAAAACUAGGGGUGCCUUCUCCCAGGAGGGCUGUGAAGUGUUAGGCAUGUCAGCUCUUGGCAUGGGACAGAAGGGACUGCCUAUAAAUGCUGGCUUGAGGUGGAGGUGCAGGCGGUGACAGCUAAGGGGUGCGACUGACUCCCCGUGGAUCCAGAGGGGAGUGGACAGUAAGCCAUGUCAGACCACGGGACCUGGGGGCCGUGUGGACUGAGGUGGGGCCACCAACCAGCCCCAGCAACUGAGGCGAGGCCAAGAAUGGCGCUAGCUCUGCUCCACUUCCUCCAGCAGAGCAGGAUUGCUCAUUUUAAAGCUGUACCGCCCAUGUCCCAGCCACUGUUUUAGAUAUUAACAUGUUUAAUCCUCACAUCAGCCACAGGAAGUAGGUGUUGCCAUCAUCUCUACUGUACCAUUGAGAAAAGGCAGAUAGCAAUGAGGUCAUGUGCUCAAGGUCACAUACAAAGGGUCUGGCAGGGCUAGAAUUUGAACACAGUUUGGGCUGGCCCCACACCUCCCCUUAAGACCCCCUUUCAAGAUACAAACACCAUGCUGUCCACAGAAUCCCAGGCCUGGGGGUGUCUGCACCCUGUCCACCCUUGUGUCCCCCUGCAGGGGCUCCUUACCAGCCCUGCCUCAGCCCCUAUGAAGACCCAGGGGAAGCGCCAAGCCCAAAGACCCUUCUCCCAGUGACUCCCAUUCAAGACAGACCCAGCAGAGGGGCAGUGAGACCUUAAGUGGGCCCCUAUAAUAAAUUUCCAUUUAUUAAUUACAUCUGAAAAUACUGGAAGGAAAACAUGGUACUUUUUCCUUCCAUGCCAGACACAAGCGUCUUUAAGAGGUUCAGUGUACUGCAGAAGGCGAAAGUUUACUGUGCCCUUUUUACACCAGCUCAAAUGUUGCCUUUCUCCCAUAAAACAUGCACCAGACCUCACUAGCUCAAAAGGCAAAGAACAGGAUGGCUGUGGGGCAAUCAAUUUCAGUACCAUUUUGAAUUAGGUGGUUGCUGUUUUGCUGUAUGUGUGGGGACCUCAUGUUCUUUCACACUGUGUGACAUCCCAAUUGGCCUGUCCCCUGACUUCUUGUGCCCACAGGUCCUUACUGAAGUGGAUUCAGAGGAUUCUAUCAUAACCUAAGUUAGCAGGCACAUGGAGAUUGUUUGUAGCGCACCCAGCAGGAGAUGCACUCCAAGAGCGAGCUGCGGGGAGAGGAGGCGGUGGAGAAAGAGGCCUGGUCCUCAGGGAGCGAACACAGCCAGCCCCAUCAUUUUCUGAUGGCACUGGGAGGUGGGUUUGAUGAGGUACUGGGCAGGAAUGGUCACCCAGGGUGCAGGGAACCCAAGUAGAGGCUGCCGUGGAGGAACUCAUGCUGACCUGAUUUACACGGUGGGCUUCAGCUUGGUUGGUUAAAAAAAAGACACACACACGAAAACCCACAGCACAAAGCCUUCUAGCAGGAGAUAGACACAGGCUUGGAGAGGGAACACAGAUAUUGUGCGGAAGAAUCUGACCGCAUUCUGGAGAUUCUGCACACAUCUCCCAAGGAGAGGCGGCAGCACACGGCAGCAGCCGCUGGAGCUCUGCAUGGCACUCCCUGGGCUGGGCACCGCACUUGGCUCUCUAUGCAGGGCCCAAGCUGCAGUGGGUGUAGGCCACUUGCUCAGAGUCACACCAGGCCGUCUGGCUCUCGGGGCCUUGGCCCAGGCCACUGUGGCCUCCUUUGCCUGCACACUGACCGAACACUCAGACGUUAGCCACACAGGGUGCCUCCUGACUUGGGGCUGCUGUUGGAAAGUGACAGAGUAGCUCUCACCUGGGAGGAAGGCAAAACACUGACCUCUGCUCUCUGGGUAAUAAUUUAGGAAACACCAGGUGGUAAUGGCAAAGUACUGACCAACAGAUCAGACUGCUUUUCUGUUUCUUGUUUAGCCUGAUUUAUCCUCUUCCCCUUAGAAAAAACUAGCAAAAUACAAUUUGAAAAGAGCUAAUAAAGUAUCCACAUUUUAAGAAUAAAAAUGAAACAAAUGAAUAACUCAAUUGAAUUCAACAGUGAUUUUGCUUGGUAUAGUGCUAAAGGAUUUUUGGAGGAGGCAACCACAACAUUUUUCUUCUUUUUUCUUUUCUUCCUUUUUGUUUUUUUUUGAGACGGAGUCUCGCUCUGUUGCCCAGGCUGGAGUGGAAUAUCACGAUCUUGGCUCACUGCAACCUCCGCCUCCUGGGUUCAAGUUAUUCUCCUGCCUCAGCCUCCCUAGUAGCUGGGAUUACAGGCGCCCGCCACCAUGCCCGGCUAAUUUUUCUAAUUUUAGUAGAGACGGGGUUUCACCACGUUGGCCAGGCU